AUUUGGGCAAAUGCAAAUUUUCAUUAUAUGCAUAUGCAUGGUCAUUGCCAAAGUCAUCUAAAAGGAAGUUCAACUUUCUCGAAGACCUUUCAAAUUGAAUCCCUAAUAGCUAGAAAGUAAUAUGAAAAGAAUAUAGGCUUUUACAAUAGUUCAGGGAAAAGUUUGUGGUGCAUGACCCCACAGAAACGCGCAUUCAUAUAUGACUUUUCUUGGGCAAAGCAAAAUUGAUAUUAUGUUGAUCGUUGGACUUCACAUAUAUAUUUGUUGAAAAACGG